CGUGUAGGCGGCCAGAUAGGUCAGCUGUGAAAACUCGAGGCUCAACCUCGAGAUGUCGGCUGAAACCAUCUGGCUAGAGUCCGGAAGAGGAGAAUGGAAUUCCCGGUGUAGCGGUGAAAUGCGCAGAUAUCGGGAAGAACACCCGUGGCGAAGGCGGUUCUCUGGGACGGUACUGACGCUGAGAGCGAAAGCGGUGGGGAGCGAACA
rnacentral:rRNA from 1 species